UACGUAGGGGGCAAGCGUUGUCCGGAUUUAUUGGGCGUAAAGAGCGUGUAGGCGGCCAUGUAGGUCCGUUGUGAAAACUCGAGGCUCAACCUCGAGACGCCGAUGGAAACCAUGUGGCUAGAGUCCGGAAGAGGAAAGCGGAAUUCCUGGUGUAGCGGUGAAAUGCGUAGAUAUCAGGAGGAACACCUGCGGUGUAGACGGCUUUCUGGACCAUUGUUGACGCUGAGACACGAAAGCGUGGGUAGCAAACAGG
rnacentral:rRNA from 1 species